rfam:Mycobacterium riyadhense strain DSM 45176 contig_87, whole genome shotgun sequence.
GAGAGCCGGAUGCGGGGCCAACUCGCACGUCCGGUUCGGGAGGGCGGCAUGAAGAAACGGGCCGGGAGUAAUCCCGAAACCGCGCUUCAUGUCGACCCCAC